rnacentral:rRNA from 1 species
UACGUAGGGUGCAAGCGUUAUCCGGAAUUAUUGGGCGUAAAGAGCUCGUAGGCGGUUUGUCGCGUCUGCUGUGAAAACUGGAGGCUCAACCUCCAGCCUGCAGUGGGUACGGGCAAACUAGAGUGCGGUAGGGGAGAUUGGAAUUCCUGGUGUAGCGGUGGAAUGCGCAGAUAUCAGGAGGAACACCGAUGGCGAAGGCAGAUCUCUGGGCCGUAACUGACACUGAUGCGCGACAGCAUGGGGGAGCAAACAGG